GACAGAGGGGGCAAGCGUUGUUCGGAUUCAUUGGGCGUAAAGGGUGCGUAGGCGGCGCGGUAAGUCGGGUGUGAAAUCUCGGGGCUUAACUCCGAAACUGCAUUCGAUACUGCCGUGCUUGAGGACUGGAGAGGAGACUGGAAUUUACGGUGUAGCGGUGAAAUGCGUAGAUAUCGUAAGGAAGAUCAGUGGCGAAGGCGGGUCUCUGGACAGUUCCUGACGCUGAGGCACGAAGGCCAGGGGAGCAAACGGG
rnacentral:rRNA from 1 species